GGCAAGAUAGCCGAAUUGGUUACGGCGUGAGGAUAAGGUCACAUUAGCAGCUGUUUCCUCAGGAGCAAUCCGCGUGGGUUCAAAUCCCACUCUUGUCG